UCCAGACUCCUACGGGAGGCAGCAGUAGGGAAUCUUUCACAAUGGGCGAAAGCCUGAUGGAGCAACGCCGCGUGCAGGAUGAAGGCCUUCGGGCUGUAAACUGCUUUUAUAAGCGAGAAAUAUGAUGGUAACUUAUGAAUAAGGAUCGGCUAACUACGUGCCAGCAGCCGCGGUAAUACGUAGGUGGCAAGCGUUAUCCGGAUUUAUUGGGUGUAAAGGGCGUGUAGGCGGGAGCGCAAGUCAGAUGUGAAAACUCAGGGCUCAACCCUGAGCCUGCAUUUGAAACUGUGUUUCUUGAGUGCUGGAGAGGCAAUCGGAAUUCCGUGUGUAGCGGUGAAAUGCGUAGAUAUACGGAGGAACACCAGUGGCGAAGGCGGAUUGCUGGACAGUAACUGACGUUGAGGCUCGAAAGCGUGGGGAGCAAACAGGAUUAGAUACCCCGGUAU
rnacentral:rRNA from 1 species